rnacentral:rRNA from 1 species
GAUGAACGCUGGCGGCGUGCCUAACAUAUGCGAGUCGAACGGAGUCCAGCCUUUAAGACCUUCGGGUCAAAGAGGGGAAGACUGAGUGGCGGACGGGUGAGUAACACGUGGGCAACCUGGCUCAUAGAGGGGGAUAACAGAGAGAAAUUUCUGCUAAUACCGCAUAAGCACACACUGCCGCAUGGCAGAGGGUGAAAAGAGAAUCGCUAUGAGAUGGACCCGCGUCUGAUUAGCCAGUUGGCAGGGUAAGAGCCUACCAAAGCGACGAUCAGUAGCCGAUCUGAGAGGAUGAACGGCCACAUUGGGACUGAGACACGGCCCAAACUCCUACGGGAGGCAGCAGUGGGGGAUAUUGCACAAUGGGGGGAACCCUGAUGCAGCGACGCCGCGUGAGUGAAGAAGUAUUUCGGUAUGUAAAGCUCUAUCAGCAGGGAAGAUAAUGACAGUACCUGAAUAAGAAGCCCCGGCUAACUACGCG